rnacentral:rRNA from 1 species
UGGAUCCAGACUUUGAUUAUGGCUCAGGAUGAACGCUAGCUACAGGCUUAACACAUGCAAGUCGAGGGGAAACGACAUCGAAAGCUUGCUUUUGAUGGGCGUCGACCGGCGCACGGGUGAGUAACGCGUAUCCAACCUGCCCACCACUUGGGGAUACCUUGCGAAAGUAAGACUAAUACCCAAUGACGUCUCUAGAAGACAUCUGAAAGAGAUUAAAGAUUUAUCGGUGAUGGAUGGGGAUGCGUCUGAUUAGCUUGUUGGCGGGGUAACGGCCCACCAAGGCUACGAUCAGUAGGGGUUCUGAGAGGAAGGUCCCCCACAUUGGAACUGAGACACGGUCCAAACUCCUACGGGAGGCAGCAGUGAGGAAUAUUGGUCAAUGGACGAGAGUCUGAACCAGCCAAGUAGCGUGCAGGAUGACGGCCCUAUGGGUUGUAAACUGCUUUUAUAAGGGAAUAAAGUGAGUCUCGUGAGACUUUUUGCAUGUACCUUAUGAAUAAGGACCGGCUAAUUCCGUGCCAGCAGCCGCGGUAAUACGGAAGGUCCGGGCGUUAUCCGGAUUUAUUGGGUUUAAAGGGAGCGUAGGCCGGAGAUUAAGCGUGUUGUGAAAUGUAGAUGCUCAACAUCUGCACUGCAGCGCGAACUGGUUUCCUUGAGUACGCACAAAGUGGGCGGAAUUCGUGGUGUAGCGGUGAAAUGCUUAGAUAUCACGAAGAACUCCGAUUGCGAAGGCAGCUCACUGGAGCGCAACUGACGCUGAAGCUCGAAAGUGCGGGUACCGAACAGGAUUAGAUACCCUGGUAGUCCGCACGGUAAACGAUGGAUGCCCGCUGUUGGUCUGAAUAGGUCAGCGGCCAAGCGAAAGCAUUAAGCAUCCCACCUGGGGAGUACGCCGGCAACGGUGCAACACAAAGGAAUUGACGGA